rnacentral:lncRNA from 1 species
GCCCGGAAAAUUUUAGGCGAUCCGGCUCUGGGGGGCCUGACCCACUCGGAAGGCGUGGGCGAUAGCACACAUGGGAAUCGGGCAGAAUUCUAGUUUUUUGGCAAAAAAAUGCAAAAAAUGAGGAACGAUCAUGGCGAGGCGGUGACUAUGGUUCCUUAGGUCCUAUUUGAUUGCCCGAGAAAAUUUUAGGCGAUCCGAGUCCGGGGCGCCCGGCCCACUAGGAAGGCGUGGGCAAUAGCACACAAAAAUAUUGUAAUCGGGCGAAAUUCUAGUUUUUUGGCUGAAAAAUGCAAAAAAUGAGGAACGAUCAUGGCUGGAUGGUGAAUUUGGUUCCAUAGGUCGUAUUUGAUGGCCCAGAAAAAUUUUAGGCGGUCGGGGUCCGUGGUUCCCGGGACAACUUGGAAGCCGUGGAUAAAGCACACGAAAGUAUGAAAAUCGGGCGGAAUUCUAGUUUUUUGGCGAAAAAAUGCAAAAAAUGAGGAACGAUCAUGGAGGGAAGGUGACUAUGGUUCCUUAGGUCUUAUUUGAUGGUCCGGAAAACAUUUAAGCGAUCGGUGUCCGUGGGUCCCAGGACCACUCGAAAGGCGUGGGCUAUAGCACAUGAAAAUAUGAGAAUCGCGCGAAAUUCUAGAGUUUUGGCCGAAAAAUGCAAACAAUGUGGAACGAUCAUGGCGGGGCGGUUACUAUGGUUAAUUAGGUCAUAUUUGAUGGCCCGGAAAAUUUUAGGCGAUCGGGGUCUGGGGGUCCCGGGACUACUUGGAAGGCGUGGGCUAUAGCACACAAAAAUAUGGGAAUCAGGCGGAAUUCUAGUUUUUUGGCCGAAAAAUACAAAAAAUGAGGAACGAUAAUGGCGAGGCGGUGACUAUGGUUAUUAGGUCCUAUUUGAUUGCCCGAAAAAAUUUUAGGCGAUCCGAGACCGGGGGGCCCGGCCCACUCAGAAGGCGUGGGCAAUAGCACACAAAAAUAUGGUAAUCGGGAGGAAUUCUAGUUUUUUAGCAGAAAAACGCAAAACAUGAGGAACGAUCAUGGAGGGGUAGUGACUAUGGUUCCUUAGGUAGUAUUUU